CACCGGGUUAGUGAGAGGAGCACAUACUUGCAAACAAGAGAGAAAGGAAUAAUAAAUCGCUUUCUUUUUAUUUAUUUAUUUUUUUUCUGCACAAGUUGGUUGUGAAAAGUGACAUCAGAGGUGACUGAGACGACUGAAGCCUGUGGAUGAUAGAGGUUGACACAACCAGGAUGCUGGAGCAGGUGGCCGGCCCGACGCCUCUGAAGCGGGAGGCAUUCAUCCCUGGAAGGCCUUUCGGACCAAGCUACAGGUGGUGAAUGUUGGCGGAAGCAGCCGGUUUCACUUGACUCUUCAGUGAAAUGCAUCCUGGAAGUGUCAUUGCUGCCACUGCAGUGCUGUACAACAUCACUGUCCAAAAAAAAGACUCUUUUCCGAGGCAUGGAGAAGUGGCACUAGAGGCAGAUGAGGCUUCUUUCACUAAAGAUGUAGGUGGACAACGUGCCCACAAUAUCAUCAACAAUUUGUAGGGCCAAGAAAUGGUGUUAUACUUUGAACACUAUAAUCUGUCAUAUAUAAUGAACACUGCUGUUUUAAAUGGUUUAAUUUAACUUUCAUGUUCUUUACAUUUUAUGAACAGCUAGUUAACAUUUAAUACUACUGUAAUUUUUAAUUAAUGAAAAA